GGACAGGGAGGACAGGUGGUGCAUGGUUGUCGUCAGCUCGUGUCGUGAGAUGUUGGGUUAAGUCCCGCAACGAGCGCAACCCCUACGUUUAGUUGCUAACGCGUGAAGGCGAGCACUCUAGACGAACUGCCGUUGACAAAACGGAGGAAGGUGGGGAUGACGUCAAAUCAUCAUGCCCCUUAUGUUCUGGGCUACACACGUGCUACAAUGGCCGGUACAGACGGACGCAAAGCCGCGAGGUGGAGCAAAUCCUAAAAAGCCGGUCUCAGUUCGGAUUGCAGGCUGCAAUUCGCCUGCAUGAAGUCGGAAUCGCUAGUAAUCGCAGGUCAGCAUACUGCGGUGAAUACGUUCCCGGGCCUU
rnacentral:rRNA from 1 species